rnacentral:rRNA from 1 species
CGACCUCAGGUCAGGCGGGACUACCCGCUGAGUUUAA